AUUGAACGCUGGCGGCAUGCUUUACACAUGCAAGUCGAACGGUAACAGGUUAAGCUGACGAGUGGCGAACGGGUGAGUAAUGCAUCGGAACGUGCCCGGUCGUGGGGGAUAACGCAGCGAAAGCUGCGCUAAUACCGCAUACGAUCUAAGGAUGAAAGCGGGGGACCGUAAGGCCUCGCGCGAUCGGAGCGGCCGAUGUCAGAUUAGGUAGUUGGUGGGGUAAAGGCUCACCAAGCCAACGAUCUGUAGCUGGUCUGAGAGGACGACCAGCCACACUGUGACUGAGACACGGCCCAGACUCCUACGGGAGGCAGCAGUGGGGAAUUUUGGACAAUGGGCGAAAGCCUGAUCCAGCAAUGCCGCGUGCAGGAAGAAGGCCUUCGGGUUGUAAACUGCUUUUGUACGGAGCGAAAAGGUCUCCUCUAAUACAGGGGGCUCAUGACGGUACCGUAAGAAUAAGCACCGGCUAACUACGAGCCAGCAGCCGCAGUAA
rnacentral:rRNA from 1 species